rnacentral:tRNA from 1 species
GGCUAAGUAGUUCAGUGUUUAUACGUUAGGCUUGAAACCAAGUAGUCCCGGGUUUGAAUCCUGGCUAGGGCU